GAGCGAUAGGAGGGGGAGUAAGGGGAGGUAUUGAGACUCAGGGUGGGGAGCCAGCUUCAGGCUGGAAGGAGGGUCCUAGGGUUCUACUGGCUCUCAGGCCUGUUUGGGGCCCAGUCCCUGGCUGCUCCCUGCAAUACAGACUGCUUGAGAGUCAGGGGCCCAAGGCUGUGGGGCAGCCCAGCCAUGCUGGGGCUUCCAGGCUCCCUUCCACAUAGCCAGGAGUCACAAAAGCCAGAGAGAGCCAGCUUUAGCUGGCAACCUACAAACCUGGGAAAUUUUGGAAAAAAAUCAGUUCAGUUCCGAAUCAGACUGAAGCCAAAUUUUGAAAGGGUAGAAAUUUCCCAAAAACUGAACAUUCUGAGUUUCAGUCAACUCUGUUCUCUACAGCAGGCUCUCUCCUCUGUUCUCCACAGAGUAAACACUACCAGCCAGGAGGAAAGAGUUGAUGCUGACAUAGAGUUGACAAAGUUUAUAGCAGAGCGUGGGGUACACAGGAUAGCUGCAAUCCCAUGUGCAGAUCAUGCAGAGAAGACAGCACAAGGUUAUCAUUGGUGAUGUUGUAUUGCCUAGAGUGAUCUUCAGGGACCAAGCCUUCCCCUGGCUUAUGAAGCUAUACAUCAGUCACCUCCACAGCACCAAGAAAAGAUUCAGCUACUGGCUAAGCAGGUGCAGAAUGACAAUUGGAUGUGCUUUUGGUGGUGGUGAGCGUAGCUGAUAUCUCACUUCUGCAGGUAACAAAGGCAGAGAGAGCACAGCUGCUGCUGGCGUCCCAAAGCCACCUGGACCACUAGCCUAUUUACUGCAGUGGUGCCUGCUGAAGCUAUUACUGAGUGGAGUAGGAAAACGUCCUAUCAUGGAGGAACAAAUAAGGCAGCCAUCCUUAGGAAGACCUUUGGGAGAGGAUUGCAGAGUGCCUCCAGGAAAGUUUCAUUGAGAUCUCUCAGGAAACAUUCCUGUGCACGUAAAUAACCUUCUCUGCAUGGCCCCCUGCCUAGCUACUGGAGAAUGAAAAUCAGAUGACAACGCUACUUCUCUUUGUUGUACAGCUACCUCUUCUCAGACGAGUGAAUUAAGGAAAAUUCGAUAGCUGUGUCCUGUUAGGUUGUGGAAGCCAUUAGUACAUCCCUAUAAUGGGAAAUACAUUUACGCAUUUACCCGAGGUUCCUUCUCCUGCAGUGGGCUUGCCUGUGCUUGACUGAGUGGACUGCGGCGGAGUCUCAAACAAAUCUCACACUAUAGCUAGAUUCCCCCGUUCACAUCUCCCCUAUAUUCCUCCUCCUUCGGCUCCUCGUCCUCACUGUUCGUGCCAGGAGCCUGUGACUCAGGCUCCUCAGUGGUGUGGGGGGAGCUGGUGGGGUCUCCACCAAGUAUGGCAUACAGCUCAUGGUAAAAGCGGCAGGUCUGUGGCUCGGCACUGGAUCACCUGUUGGCCUCCCUGGACUUCUAAGAUGCCUGUCACAGCUCCUUGGCUUUCACACGGCACUGCUGCUGGUCCCUGUCAUACUCCUUCUCCUGCAUCCCCUGGGCAAUCUGCUUGUAGAGGUCAACAUCUCAGAGCAGUCAGUUCUGGGCAUUGUGAAACAGCUGCUGGAGGACGGUUAGGGUCACAUUAGGUAACGCAGUGUCUGCACUCAUCCUGCAUCAACCUCCGUACAUUAACCAUGGCUCAAUGCUGUGUGGGGAGGUGGUGUUACAAUGUUGGCAUAAUGGGUGGGAGACAAAAUUAAGUGUAGACACAUGCACAAUGAGGUCGAUGCAAGGUGGCUUACGUUGACCUAGCUUUGUAGUGUAGACAAGGCCUAAGUUACCAGCAAUUGUAUAUAACUGUUAUGAUUAUAUAAGCAAGGCCAGGUCAGCAGCCCAGGUCAUUCUUAACGGGGGCCAUUGUCACCAUUCUAGAGCCGUCAAAGAUACCUCAACCGAUGAUCAUCCUUCCUGUACAGCUAAUUUGCAUGCUGCAAUUCUAUUGGUUGUAAUGGGUCUGGGGCAUAAUAGUUGUCACUGGUAGGCUGCUUGCUCCAACCAUCAUUCUCUGUAAAGGCUCUGAGCCCCUGAGCUGGCUUGGGCCCCGGUGUGUGAAAGGCCCCGCACUGGGUUUUGGAGUGCCAGAAAGAUAAGCAUAUACUUAAGUGCUUUGCUAAAUCAGGGACUAGAAUGAUGAUUUUCCGACUUCACUAUAAGUGAGCCACUUUUACCAUCUUUUUUUACUUUUCUAAGCAGCAAAUGCAAGUAAUCCACACAGGAACUAGCAUCCAGCAAAAUCACCCUCCAAAAGCAAAGCCUUUGUUGUAGGAGUCACCUUGUAUUAUUUCGUGGUUUUGUUACACGUAUAAAAUUCCUCAGCUUAGCGAGACCUGUAAGUUAGUGUUUUGACUUUCUAGCUAGGCAGGCCUUACUGAUAUGCCAUAUUAGGCUACUGGUACGGACAAAAGUGUUUAACAUCUGUGUUUUUAUAAGAAUGUUUAUUUACUUAUGUAAGAAUUUGAUAUAAUGGCAGACCAAGAAAUGGGGAACAGGCCAAUGCUGUCCUCAAGUUUCAUGCACAAGUCAACAUUUGCACAGUAGACCACAGUUAGGUGUUGAAACGCAAGUAGUUAACUGGUGAUAAGAAUUCAGCAUUUGUAGUUUGUUAAACAUUGGACAUCUUUCUUUGCAUUCCAUUUUGUUCUAGUGAAAACUUUCAUCUUGAUUGUGACUGAGGGGAACAAAAGCUUCAAAGCAUACUGAUUUAUUUCCAUUUUUAAGAAAGGCAAUAGAUAAAAAGAGUGGAUGAGAUUACAACUUGAUUUUUACCAAGAUAUUAACCUUUCUUGUUCUUAAUAGUGAAUACCAAUGCAGUACUUCCACACUGUACAUCUUUUCUUCCUAUUUACAUUACUGUGUUUCACUACUACCUAUAAUCUAUUCAAUGUGCUGCUGAGAUUGCUUGCAACAUAGGGUUGCAUCAUAUUUUAAAGUCUGACUCAAAAUUAAAAAAAGCUAAAGGCAGUAUAUUAUUUAAGUGGAAAUUCAUACAAAUCAGUUGUAGAAAUAAACACCGUGCCGAGCGUUGUAAAUUCUAAAGAUUUACUGUUCACUAAAUCCAUGUAAUGUAUAACUCCAAACAAGUGUGAUUAAUCACUUAUAUAUUCUGGGACUACUUUUCUUUUCAAUUGCUCCUCAAAUUCACUUCCUUUUUAU